rnacentral:lncRNA from 1 species
ACUUUUCUCAAUAUCUCGCCAUUUCAUUUCCAUCACCACCUCACCACCGUCGCUCGUUCUCUCUCCUUCUCCACCACCGCCUCUGCCACGGACCUUUUCAUCGCCCACGCCGGUAAAUUUCAUCCCAAGUUCAGUUCUUGUUUCUUAUUACCUGUUCAUCUACUUCCAGCCAACUCUGUUUCAUUAUAUAUAUGUUAUGAACUUAUAAAUGUAUUCUCACUCUUUUUUGUUUACUUAUAAAUGUAUAUGUUAUGUUACUUUUGUAUUCUCACUCUUUUAGCUUCACUUGCUAUCGAUAGAAUUGGAAAGGGGCGUUUGGAUGAGAUAAUUGAUCAGUUUAUGGUGCAGCAAAACUUUAGAUGAUCCGUUUAUGGUGCCUAGCAUUUCAUAGUGAAAUGAGGCCUUCGAUGACAGAGGUAGCAGAUGAAUUGGAGCAAAUUAGGCUAAGUAAAUGUGCAUCUGUCGACCAACCUUGGUCUAAUUUAAGCAAGAGGGUGAUUGGUAAGAAGCCUGAAUUUGAGAGUAAAGGUGUGUUUGGCAGUUUGAAUUCAGUGGACAGUGAGAAGAAUUAUUCGCCUGUUUCUGUGCAGGAAUCAUGGUUAAGUAGUGAUCGAAGCUCUCCUUCAUCAAAUAGUCUACUCAAUCAUUCAAUUCACUGAUAUAUGUAAAAACUCUAAUCUACUUAUGAAGGAUUAGAAUCCGCACUGUUUGGAUGGAUUUUUUGUGGAUGAUUUAUACAUAAGUAGUAACUGUAUAUAUAUAUUAUAUACAGGUUUGCUUGGUAUCCAUUUCUUUUUUGUUAUGAACUUAUAAAUGUAUAUGUUAUGCUCUGUUUGUGUGUCACUUGUUUCGAUUUUUCUGUUUGUAUCUGCAUAAUAAUUUAUGUAAUACAAUAUGCUUCUUUGCAGUUCUGUAAUGGUAUGUAGUUUCUUUGUUUAUUAUGUGAAUUCAUAGAUGAUUAAAUUCAAGCAAGCUAAAUGCUCAGCUUUUAGAUAUAUAUUUGGUUGCCUUUUGCAGGUACUAUUUUUAACAUGGAUACCUCUAUUGGCACACUUGAUCACUACAAGAAAAAGCUUUAUUUUCGACAGAAGUAUUGUCGACUAAACCGAUUCCGUCGAUGAUAAUAGAAGACCGACCGAAUAUUUAGUCGACAUUAAUUCAGUUGGAAUUAAUGUAUCCUCGACUGACAUUAGUCGGAUUUAAGAUCUUCUCCUUGACGCGAGGGUUUCCCACCAACGCGAAUAUAUAGUCGACUGAAUAUGAUCAUCCUCGACCGAAUAAUUCGUCGAUGUUAUAAUAACGUCGACGGACACAACCCCGACGGACUUCCGUCGGGCAUAAACCUAAAAAACCCUUUCGCCUCCCUUGCGUCUUUUCAUUUUCAUUUUCCUCUCUAUUUACACUUUCCCUCUCCUAUCUAGCUAGACUACGUCUCUCUCUCUCUCAUACCCUGCACCAACCCCCUCGAUCUCCAUCGGUCCCCUCACGCACCCUGCACCCGCCGGCCGGUACCCCCACUCCCCCCGGCCGAUCGUCCCCGGCCUGCUCGAC